CAGAAUACCGGGCAGACCGCGGCUGCCAAAAAAGAGCAAACAGCCGAGCGGGGAUGGCAAACCAUUGCCUGAAGAAAAGGUCAGCCCAAACAGAAAUACACCAGCCGCUUAUUGUAUACGCAAACCGAAUUUUGAGUAUUUGGAUGAUGAAAGCAAUGAUGACGAUAGCGAUGCGGCAAAUUAAUCUUGGAUAUACUAUGUACUUAGACAUACAAAAAGUAUUAAAUCUUAUAUAUUUAAGUAGUAAUAGAGAGGAGUAUUUUGAA